rnacentral:lncRNA from 1 species
CGGUCCUGCAAUAAUAUUCUUGACUUGUCCCUUCCAGGAUACAACAGCCCGACAACAUCGUAUGAUCCGAACAAAUCUGGACAAGUUGUUGAGUCUAAAGCUCCACAAAAAGUAAACACCUUCCUUCAACAAAAAUAAUAUUCCCGUUUGUAGAGAAUACAUUGGAGACUUAGAUGUUCUCCUUCUCUUAGCUCUCUUUUUCACAAUACCGACC